rnacentral:rRNA from 1 species
ACAAGCGGUGGAGCAUGUGGUUUAAUUCGAUGCAACGCGAAGAGCCUUACCUAGGCUUGACAUCCCAGGAAUUCUUAGGAAACUAAGAAGUGCCUUUCGGGGAACCUGGAGACAGGUGCUGCAUGGCUGUCGUCAGCUCGUGUCGCGAGAUGUUGGGUUAAGUCCCGCAACGAGCGCAACCCUUAUCUUUAGUUGCCAUCAUUCAGUUGGGCACUCUAAAGAGACUGCCGGUGUCAAACCGGAGGAAGGUGGGGAUGACGUCAAGUCCUCAUGGCCUUUAUGACCAGGGCUACACACGUACUACAAUGGCCGGUACAAAGGGCAGCCACUUAGCGAUAAGGAGCCAAUCCCGUAAAGCCGGUCUCAGUCCGGAUUGGAGUCUGCAACUCGACUCCAUGAAGUUGGAAUCGCUAGUAAUCGCAGAUCAGCACGCUGCGGUGAAUACGUUCCCGGGCCUU